UACUGAUCCUAGGCUACAGCCUGUACAGCAGGUUCCUGGACUGAAUACUGCAGGCCAUGCAGCAGUGGUAUCUGCAGCCAGGCUCCCCCGAG